rnacentral:rRNA from 1 species
GCGACUUGCAUUCGUAAGGUGGCCUCGGAGGAGUUUGGAGUGUCCAGGGGAAGGAGAAGCGAAGAUAAGGAUACCUGGUGGUGGAAUGAUGAUGUCCAGAAGGCGCUUAAAGAGAAGAAAGAUUGCUUCAGACGCCUAUACCUGGAUAGGAGUGCAGACAACAUAGAGAAGUACAAGAUGGCGAAGAAGGCCGCAAAGCGAGCUGUUGGUGAAGCAAGGGGUCGGGCAUAUGAGCACCUCUACCAACGGUUAGGCACGAAGGAAGGUGAAAGGGACAUCUAUAAGAUGGCUAAGAUCCGGGAGAGGAAGAUGAGGGAUAUUGGCCAAGUCAAAUGCAUCAAGGACGGAGCAGGCCAACUCUUGGUGAAGGACGAAGAGAUUAAGCAUAGAUGGCGGGAGUACUUCGACAAGCUGUUCAAUGGGGAGAAUGAGAGUUCUACCAUUGAACUGAAUGACUCCUUUCAUGAGACCAGCAUGCGUUUUGUGCGGCGCAUCCAGGAGUCUGAGGUGAAGGAGGCUUUAAAAAGGAUGAAAGGAGGCAAGGCGAUGGGCCCUGAUUGUAUCCCCAUUGAGGUGUGGAAAGGUCUCGGGGACAUAGCGAUAGUAUGGCUAACCAAGCUUUUCAACCUCAUUUUUCGGGCAAACAAGAUGCCAAAAGAAUGGAGACGGAGUAUAUUAGUACCAAUCUUCAAGAACAAGGGGGAUGUUCAGAGUUGUACUAAUUACCGUGGAAUUAAGCUGAUGAGCCAUACAAUGAAGCUAUGGGAGAGAGUCAUUGAGCACCGCUUAAGAAGAAUGACAAGCGUGACCAAAAAUCAGUUUGGUUUCAUGCCUGGGAGGUCGACCAUGGAAGCCAUUUUCUUGGUACGACAACUUAUGGAGAGAUAUAGGGAGCAUAAGAAGGACUUGCAUAUGGUGUUCAUUGACUUGGAGAAGGCCUAUGAUAAGAUACCGCGGAAUGUCAUGUGGUGGGCCUUGGAGAAACACAAAGUCCCAGCAAAGUACAUUACCCUCAUCAAGGACAUGUACAAUAAUGUUGUGACAAGUGUUCGAACAAGUGAUGUCGACAUCGAUGACUUCCCGAUUAAGAUAGGACUACAUCAGGGGUCAGCUUUGAGCCCUUAUCUUUUUGCAUUGGUGAUGGAUGAGGUCACAAGGGGUAUACAAGGAGAUAUCCCAUGGUGUAUGCUCUUUGCGGAUGAUGUGGUGCUAGUUGACGAUAGUCGGACGGGGGUAAAUAGGAAGUUAGAGUUAUGGAGACAAACCUUGGAAUCGAAAGGGUUUAGGCUUAGUAGAACUAAAACCGAGUACAUGAUGUGCGGUUUCAGUACUACUAGCUGUGAGGAGGAGGAGGUUAGCCUUGAUGGCCAGGUGGUACCUCGGAAGGACACCUUUCGGUAUUUGGGGUCAAUGUUGCAGGAGGAUGGGGGUAUUGAUGAAGAUGUGAACCAUCGAAUCAAAGCCGGAUGGAUGAAGUGGCGCCAAGCUUCUGGCAUUCUCUGUGACAAGAGAGUGCCACAAAAGGUAAAAGGCAAGUUCUACAGGACGGCGGUUCGACCCGCAAUGUUGUAUGGCGCGGAGUGUUGGCCGACUAAAAGGCGGCAUGUUCAACAGUUAGGUGUGGCGGAGAUGCGUAUGUUGAGAUGGAUGUGUGGCCACACGAGGAAGGAUCGAGUCCGGAAUGAUGAUAUACGAGAU